UCACGGGAGACACACGGCGGGUGCUAACGUCCGUCGUGAAGAGGGAAACAACCCAGACCGCCAGCUAAGGUCCCAAAGUCAUGGUUAAGUGGGAAACGAUGUGGGAAGGCCCAGACAGCCAGGAUGUUGGCUUAGAAGCAGCCAUCAUUUAAAGAAAGCGUAAUAGCUCACUGGUCGAGUCGGCCUGCGCGGAAGAUGUAACGGGGCUAAACCAUGCACCGAAGCUGCGGCAGCGAACGUAUCACUUAAAGCGAUUCAGCGGGUUACGAUUGACGGAGCGAAGCGACGUCAAAGCGUAUACAAAGUCGAGUCGGUUUAAGGAUACGUUCGUUGGGUAGGGGAGCGUUCUGUAAGCCCGUGAAGGUGGCCUGUGAGGGUUGCUGGAGGUAUCAGAAGUGCGAAUGCUGACAUAAGUAACGAUAAAGCGGGUGAAAAGCCCGCUCGCCGGAAGACCAAGGGUUCCUGUCCAACGUUAAUCGGGGCAGGGUGAGUCGACCCCUAAGGCGAGGCCGAAAGGCGUAGUCGAUGGGAAACGGGUUAAUAUUCCCGUACUUGGUGUUACUGCGAAGGGGGGACGGAGAAGGCUAUGUUGGCCGGGCGACGGUUGUCCCGGUUUAAGCGUGUAGGUGUGUGUUCCAGGUAAAUCCGGUUCACUUUAACACUGAGGCGUGAUGACGAGGCACUACGGUGCUGAAGCAACAAAUGCCCUGCUUCCAGGAAAAGCCUCUAAGCAUCAGGUAACAUCAAAUCGUACCCCAAACCGACACAGGUGGUCAGGUAGAGAAUACCAAGGCGCUUGAGAGAACUCGGGUGAAGGAACUAGGCAAAAUGGUGCCGUAACUUCGGGAGAAGGCACGCUGACACGUAGGUGAAGUGAUUUACUCACGGAGCUGAAGUCAGUCGAAGAUACCAGCUGGCUGCAACUGUUUAUUAAAAACACAGCACUGUGCAAACACGAAAGUGGACGUAUACGGUGUGACGCCUGCCCGGUGCCGGAAGGUUAAUUGAUGGGGUCAGCGCAAGCGAAGCUCCUGAUCGAAGCCCCGGUAAACGGCGGCCGUAACUAUAACGGUCCUAAGGUAGCGAAAUUCCUUGUCGGGUAAGUUCCGACCUGCACGAAUGGCGUAAUGAUGGCCAGGCUGUCUCCACCCGAGACUCAGUGAAAUUGAACUCGCUGUGAAGAUGCAGUGUACCCGCGGCAAGACGGAAAGACCCCGUGAACCUUUACUAUAGCUUGACACUGAACAUUGAGCCUUGAUGUGUAGGAUAGGCGGGAGGCUUUGAAGUGUGGACGCCAGUCUGCAUGGAGCAGACCUUCAAAUACCACACUUUAAUGUUUGAUGUUCUAACGUGGACACGUAAUCUGGCAUGCGGCCAGUUUAUGGUGGGUAGUUUGACUGGGGCGGUCUCCUCCUAA
rnacentral:rRNA from 1 species